CGGACGGGUGAGUAACGCGUGAGAAUCUGCCCUCAGGAGGAGGAUAACGGUUGGAAACGGCCGCUAAUACCCCAUAUGCCGAGAGGUGAAAUGAAUUUCGCCUGAGGAUGAGCCCGCGUCUGAUUAGCUAGUUGGUGAGGUAAGAGCUCACCAAGGCAUCGAUCAGUAGCUGGUCUGAGAGGAUGAUCAGCCACACUGGGACUGAGACACGGCCCAGACUCCUACGGGAGGCAGCAGUGGGGAAUUUUCCGCAAUGGGCGAAAGCCUGACGGAGCAACGCCGCGUGAGGGAUGAAGGCCUCUGGGCUGUAAACCUCUUUUAUCAAGGAAGAAGAUCUGACGGUACUUGAUGAAUAAGCCACGGCUAAUUCCGUGCCAGCAGCCGCGGUAAUACGGGAGUGGCAAGCGUUAUCCGGAAUUAUUGGGCGUAAAGCGUCCGCAGGCGGCCCAACAAGUCUGCUGUUAAAAAGUGGAGCUUAACUCCAUCAUGGCAGUGGAAACUGUUGGGCUCGAGUGUGGUAGGGGCAGAGGGAAUUCCUGGUGUAGCGGUGAAAUGCGUAGAUAUCGGGAAGAACACCAGUGGCGAAGGCGCUCUGCUGGGCCAUCACUGACGCUCAUGGACGAAAGCCAGGGGAGCGAAAGGGAUUAGAUACCCCUGUAGUC
rnacentral:rRNA from 1 species